rnacentral:rRNA from 1 species
UACGGGGGGGGGCAAGCGUUGUUCGGAAUUACUGGGCGUAAAGGGCGCGUAGGCGGUCGUGACAAGUCACUUGUGAAAUCUCCGGGCUUAACUCGGAACGGUCAAGUGAUACUGUCGGGCUAGAGUACAGAAGGGGCAACUGGAAUUCUCGGUGUAGCGGUGAAAUGCGUAGAUAUCGAGAGGAACACCUGCGGCGAAGGCGGGUUGCUGGGCUGACACUGACGCUGAUGCGCGAAAGCUAGGGGAGCGAACGGG